AUUACAUCACUUCUCGCCCUCGUGAUUGGCUAAAGGUUAACUUGUACACGUAGCAUCCACCGCGAGCCUCACCAUCCCGAGUCGAGCGACGCUUUAAAAUUUCACUAUUAUCGUCAUCUUUUUUUUUCAUUACUCUUUAGCGCAGCAGCGGUUGCGCUGGUGUGCGCGAUUUCCUCCUUUUUGGAUUGGCGGCUCGUUUCGACGAUGGCCGAGAGCGAAGCAGACACGCCGAGCACGCCGAUCGAGUUCGACAGUAAAUACUUUGAGUUUGAUGGAGUGCGGCUGCCGCCCUUCUGCAGAGGGAAGAUGGAGGAGAUCGCUAGCCUCUCCCUCAGAAGUAGCGACAUAUGGAUUGUCACCUAUCCAAAGUCAGGAACCAGUCUACUUCAAGAAGUUGUGUAUUUAGUAAGCCAAGGAGCAGACCCAGAUGAGAUCGGCCUCAUGAACAUCGAUGAACAGCUGCCCGUCCUAGAGUAUCCUCAACCUGGCCUGGAUAUCAUACAGGAGCUGACAUCCCCUCGUCUAAUCAAAAGCCAUCUUCCAUAUCGAUUCCUCCCUACGGCCAUGCAUAACGGGGAGGCCAAGGUGAUCUACAUGGCUCGAAACCCUAAAGACCUGGUGGUCUCCUACUACCAGUUUCACCGCUCUCUCAGGACAAUGAGCUACCGAGGCAACUUUCAGGAAUUUUGCCGGCGCUUCAUGAAUGACAAACUGGGAUAUGGAUCCUGGUUUGAACAUGUUCAGGAAUUUUGGGAGCAUCGGAUGAAUUCCAACGUCCUCUUCUUGAAAUAUGAAGACAUGUAUAAGGACCUGGGGACGUUGGUGGAGCAGUUAGCCCGGUUCCUGGGCAUUUCCUGUGACAAGGUGCAGCUGGAGGGCAUGGUGGAGAGCUGCAACCAGCUCAUUGAGCAGUGUGGCAACUCAGAGGCGCUGUCAGUCUGCAGAGUGCAAAUUGGAGGUCUGGUGUCUGCUGUGCUAUGGGCUUAGCCCACAAGUGGCAGUCAUUGUGAUUGGUCUCUCACACCACAGUGCAGCAGGUCGUGUGGGUCUGUGGAAGGACAUCUUCACGGUGUCUAUGAAUGAGAAGUUUGACGCAGUGUAUAGACAGAAGAUGGAAAUGUCCGACCUGACUUUUGAUUUCAAUCUGUGAGGAAUGUCUAUCUGCCAAAACCUACAUUCUUGCACCUUCAUUCAAGCCCACCAAUGUUUUGGUUGCGCUACAAGACUUCUCUAAGAAAGCAAGUUACGUCGACAGGAUGUUUCUGUGGACUGAUGAAAAUAAAUACACAACAAUUUGAGGUUACUAAAGUUUCAUAGGUUUGACAUUUUAACCCAUCAUAAAAUUCUCUGUUGGCAAACCAUUUUACUAAUGCAGCAUUAUUAUGAUAUUAUUAUUAUAUUGUAGAUUUUAACUAAGUUCAGUGGCGGGUCGUUUUGUUUCGUUAUGUCUUGCUGGUGUCUUAUAUGAAAUGGUGACAAUUAUUAAAACUUUGUAGACUAAUAUCUUACAUUUACAUUUUUAUAUUUGAGUUUUGAUAGUGUCCAUGAUCUUUGUUUUCAACUCUUAAGUGAGCUUAUUACUUUUAAAGGCUCUGAAAAUUAAGUGUUCAACUGGCCUAUUUUAAGGUGAUGUAAGGUGUACGUGUGAUUCUGAAUGGAUUUGCAAGCUGUGGUGUCACAUUGACGCUAUUAUGAGGUGUAUUCAUUUAGGCCACGUGUCUAACAGCGGUCCUCGAGGGACUGUCUCUGCUGAUUACCUGGAACAGCUGUGUCAGGUGGCUUAUCCAGCUGUUGAUUGGCUGAACACACCGGGUCUAGGUAAUCAGUAGGAGCUCGAGCAGAGAGAGAAAAAGAGUAGCCGAGUUGAGGCAGGACUAAGUAGGACAUCGCUAAUGGCCUAGGUGUAAAAUGCACGGCCCGCCACUGACUAAAUUUAGCUUUAAAAAGCUAAAUGCGCUGCUGUGUUUAGCAACUAGUUUGCUAAACCCUUGCUCAUUGUUGCCAGAUAGGUUGAGUAGGACUGAAGAGUCAGAGCUUUUUGCUUAGGCUUUUUUGAUUGAACACACACUUGUAGAAUGAACCUGAACCAAAAAUGCUUGAAAAUCAAAACAAUGAACUAAAACUUACUAAAAGGCCUGUAAAAAGUAGUCAACUGAGCAUGUUUAUCUGUGGCUUUGUCACUGUGAGCACAAUACACGUAGAUUAACAUUAUAAUUACUUUAAUUUUACUUUUGUUCAACUUUAAAUCUAAUGUUACACAAAGUUCUUAUCAGUGGCAUCUCACUCAGAUUAUAGGGUGAGGGGUCCAAGGUGGUGGACUAAAGAGUCAUGGAGGAUCACUGUUUAGGUUCAUUUGCUAAAGACUGCUGGGGGGAGUUCCAUCCACUAUAAACACUUGACACAAGUGUUUCAUCUUUGUGUGAGUGAGUGGGCAUGAAAAAUUAACAUUGAAGAUAUCUGUCAGAAUUCAAAUUCAAGGCAUUGUAAAGCUGCUAAGCUGCUACAAAUACCUACUGUAAGUUUAACACUCGAUGUGAUGUAUUUACUUGCUCUGUCCGCUCCCCUGUAGUGGUUAGUGGUGGUGCUCUGUUAUUGGAUAACAUCCUGUGUACAGUAAUAUGCGAUCUCCCAGGUAUUAGAGCUGUUUGUUGAGCCUUGUAAUUCAUAUCUACAGUAUCUUUUGGAUGCAUAAAGUACUGUUAGAACAAGAAGUUGCAACAGGUAUCUUUAAGGAAUUGGACCUUUGUCCUUUGUUUUCCACUACAAGUAGGCUGUAAAAUCUGUUCCAGAGCAGAAAGGUAACCUUAAAGGUUAGAUCUGCUAAUUUCUACGUACUAGUUCUACUAGAUCUAUCUACUCAUAAGGAAAUGUAAUUUCUUGUUCAUUAGAAAAGUACGAUGGGAGAGUAACGACUGGCCAAACUUUUUUUCUGCCAAUGAGAGAUUUUGCUCAAGAUUUGCGUUGGGGUAAAUUAUUCUGGGUAAAUUUCCUGAAGGUUAAUAAAUAACCAAAAGGUACCAGGACCUUUAGAGUAGUACGGGUUGAUGAUGCUGAUGAUAAAGCAUCCGGCCAUAUUUUCUUUCUAUUCUCUUUUGACUGCACUUGGUGAACACGCUGGUCUCUGUCUCCUCCUUUUUUCCCAGCAGUGUUGUGUUUUGGGGACAGGCUAUUAUAAAAACCUAUAACCAGCAUGGACUGUGUUCAGUGUAGUGUCAUGGAAACAGCAGCCCCUUCUCUUCCUCUGUCGUCGCAACUGCCAGCCCGACGGACCAGUUUACAACCAGUUUAUAUUCACACUUGUGAAUGUCUUGCGUGGAUGUAAACAGCAACCUUGGUGCACUUGUCACACUCCUUCGGUUACACCCAUCCAUUCAUUGUCCUUUCUUGUGUUUACAGCUCGUAGCCAAGGUUUCAGCUGCCCGCCUCCACUUUUAUUAUUAGUUUGGGUUUUUAUUCUCUUUCCUUCUAUUGUAUUUGAGAUACUUUGCUUGCUGGUUUAUUAAUAAAGUUGUGUCUUUAGGGUA